rnacentral:rRNA from 1 species
GACGAACGCUGGCGGCGUGCCUAAUACAUGCAAGUUGAGCGCUGAAGGUUGGUACUUGUACCAACUGGAUGAGCAGCGAACGGGUGAGUAACGCGUGGGGAAUCUGCCUUUGAGCGGGGGACAACAUUUGGAAACGAAUGCUAAUACCGCAUAAAAACUUUAAACACAAGUUUUAAGUUUGAAAGAUGCAAUUGCAUCACUCAAAGAUGAUCCCGCGUUGUAUUAGCUAGUUGGUGAGGUAAAGGCUCACCAAGGCGAUGAUACAUAGCCGACCUGAGAGGGGGAUCGGCCACGUUGGGACUGAGACACGGCCCAAACUCCUGCGGGAGGCAGCAGUAGGGAAUCUUCGGCGAUGGACGAAAGUCUGACCGAGCAACGCCGCGUGAGUGAAGAAGGUUUUCGGAUCGUAAAACUCUGUUGGUAGAGAAGAACGUUGGUGAGAGUGGAAAGCUCAUCAAGUGACGGUAACUACCCAGAAAGGGACGGCUAACUACGUG